GACGUAGGGGGCCAGCGUUGCUCGGAAUUACUGGGCGUAAAGGGUUCGUAGGCGGUGCGGUAAGUCGAAAGUGAAAUCUCCCGGCUUAACUGGGAGGCUGCUUCCGAAACUGCCGUGCUAGAGUGCGGGAGAGGCGAGUGGAAUUGCAGGUGUAGCGGUGAAAUGCGUAGAUAUCUGCAGGAACACCCGUGGCGAAGGCGGCUCGCUGGACCGCAACUGACGCUGAGGAACGAAAGCUAGGGGAGCAAACAGG
rnacentral:rRNA from 1 species